rfam:Haliscomenobacter hydrossis DSM 1100, complete genome.
GCGGAUGUAGCUCAGCUGGUAGAGCGCAACCUUGCCAAGGUUGAGGUCGCAGGUUCGAAUCUUGUUAUCCGCU